CCUGAAUCCAACCAGCACUGUGGAAUCAAAUCCUACAGAUCCCAGCUAAGAAGAUAAGAAACACAUCAUCUGAAGGUUUUUCAGAUAUUUUUGCUAUGACUCCAGCUGGCUCAUAAGCAGUGAGCCUGGCUAGAAGAAAAAAGAAAGCAGCUCCUUUGUUUCCCUGGUUGCAGAAGAAUCCCUGAGGAGGAACCAGAUGGAUCCUGUUACAGGAAAGCAGUUCAGGCUGUCCAAGAAAACUUCUAAUGGGAACACUUUCAAACUUAUUUUAUAAGGCCAGCAUUACUGUGAUAUUAAAACCAGACAAGGACACUACAGGAAAAGAACAUUACAGGCCAAUAUGCCUGAUUAACACAGAAGCAAAAAUUCUUAAUAAAAUACUAGCAAACAAAAUUCAUCCAAACAUUAAAAGGAUGAUUCACCAUAAUCAAGUGGGAUUUAUCCCUGCAAUGCAAGGAUGGUUCCAUAUACGCAAAUCUAUAAAUGUUAUGUUCCACAUUAACUGAAUGGACAAAAACCACAUGAUCAUUUCAAUACAUGCAAAAAAAGGCAUUUGACUAAAUUUUAUAUUCUUUCAUGAAAACUGCUAUCAAUAAAUUAGAUGUAAAAGUAAUGUACCUUAACACAAUAAAGGUUGUAUGUGACAAGACCAUAGCUAACAUCACACUUGACAGUGAGAAAUUGAAAACCUUUUCUCUAAGAUUGGGAAUAAGACAAUUCCUAGGUAUUUCAAAAUUUUUGUGACUAUUAUAAAUGGAUUGUGUUCUUGAUUUGAAUCUCAGCUUGAAUGUUAUUGAUGUAUAGAAAUGCUAUUGAUU
rnacentral:lncRNA from 1 species